rnacentral:rRNA from 1 species
UCGGAGUGCUUGCACUCUGUGAAACAAGAUACAGGCUAGCGGCGGACGGGUGAGUAACACGUGGGUAACCUGCCCAAGAGAUCGGGAUAACACCUGGAAACAGAUGCUAAUACCGGAUAACAACAGAUGAUGCCUAUCAACUGUUUAAAAGAUGGUUCUGCUAUCACUCUUGGAUGGACCUGCGGUGCAUUAGCUAGUUGGUAGGGUAACGGCCUACCAAGGCGAUGAUGCAUAGCCGAGUUGAGAGACUGAUCGGCCACAUUGGGACUGAGACACGGCCCAAACUCCUACGGGAGGCAGCAGUAGGGAAUCUUCCACAAUGGACGCAAGUCUGAUGGAGCAACGCCGCGUGAGUGAAGAAGGGUUUCGGCUCGUAAAGCUCUGUUGUUGGUGAAGAAGGACAGGGGUAGUAACUGACCUUUGUUUGACGGUAAUCAAUUAGAAAGUCACGGCUAACUACGUGCCAGCAGCCGCGGUAAUACGUAGGUGGCAAGCGUUGUCCGGAUUUAUUGGGCGUAAAGCGAGUGCAGGCGGUUCGAUAAGUCUGAUGUGAAAGCCUUCGGCUCAACCGGAGAAUUGCAUCAGAAACUGUCGAGCUUGAGUACAGAAGAGGAGAGUGGAACUCCAUGUGUAGCGGUGAAAUGCGUAGAUAUAUGGAAGAACACCGGUGGCGAAGGCGGCUCUCUGGUCUGU